rnacentral:rRNA from 1 species
GGUGGUAAUGCCGGAUGCUCCGACUCCUCGCAUGGGGUGUCGGGAAAGAUUUCAUCGGUAUGGGAUGGGGUCGCGUCCUAUCAGGUAGUCGGCGGGGUAACGGCCCACCGAGCCUACGACGGGUAGCCGGCCUGAGAGGGCGACCGGCCACAUUGGGACUGAGAUACGGCCCAGACUCCUACGGGAGGCAGCAGUGGGGAAUAUUGCACAAUGGGCGCAAGCCUGAUGCAGCGACGCCGCGUGCGGGAUGACGGCCUUCGGGUUGUAAACCGCUUUUGAUCGGGAGCAAGCCUUCGGGUGAGUGUACCUUUCGAAUAAGCACCGGCUAACUACGUGCCAGCAGCCGCGGUAAUACGUAGGGUGCAAGCGUUAUCCGGAAUUAUUGGGCGUAAAGGGCUCGUAGGCGGUUCGUCGCGUCCGGUGUGAAAGUCCAUCGCUUAACGGUGGAUCUGCGCCGGGUACGGGCGGGCUGGAGUGCGGUAGGGGAGACUGGAAUUCCCGGUGUAACGGUGGAAUGUGUAGAUAUCGGGA